rnacentral:rRNA from 1 species
GACGAACGCUGGCGGUAUGCCUUACACAUGCAAGUCGAACGAGAUCAUAUUUUUGUUUACAAGAAUAUGAUUGCAGUGGCGGACGGGUGAGGAACACGUAAGAACUUACCUUUUGGCGGGGAUAACAACGGGAAACUGUUGCUAAUACCCCAUAAUGGCUGAGGAGCAAAAGGGAAACUACCAAAAGAGAGGCUUGCGUCUGAUUAGCUAGUUGGAGGAGGUAAAUGCUCCCCAAGGCGACGAUCAGUAGCUGGUCUGAGAGGAUGAUCAGCCACACUGGGACUGAGAUACGGCCCAGACUCCUACGGGAGGCAGCAGUGGGGAAUUUUCCACAAUGGGCGAAAGCCUGAUGGAGCAAUACCGCGUGAGGGAUGAAGUAUCGUGGUACGUAACCUCUUUUCUU